AUGAACGCUGGCGGCGUGCCUAAUCCAUGCAAGUCGAGCGAACAGACGAGGAGCUUGCUCCUCUGACGUUAGCGGCGGACGGGUGAGUAACACGUGGAUAACCUACCUAUAAGACUGGGAUAACUUCGGGAAACCGGAGCUAAUACCGGAUAAUAUAUUGAACCGCAUGGUUCAAUAGUGAAAGACGGUUUUGCUGUCACUUAUAGAUGGAUCCGCGCCGCAUUAGCUAGUUGGUAAGGUAACGGCUUACCAAGGCAACGAUGCGUAGCCGACCUGAGAGGGUGAGCGGCCACACUGGAACUGAGACACGGUCCAGACUCCUACGGGAGGCAGCAGUAGGGAAUCUUCCGCAAUGGGCGAAAGCCUGACGGAGCAACGCCGCGUGAGUGAUGAAGGUCUUCGGAUCGUAAAACUCUGUUAUUAGGGAAGAACAAAUGUGUAAGUAACUAUGCACGUCUUGACGGUACCUAAUCAGAAAGCCACGGCUAACUACGUG
rnacentral:rRNA from 1 species